CCCCUUGAGGCGGGCGGGGCUGCCCCCUAUAUUGGCCCUGUUCCCGGCAACGGGGACUAUGGACAUAAACGCGCUCGUAAUAAGCGGAUCGGACCCGGGGGCGGUACCCGGCGGCUCCACCAAACACCCGGCGUUGCGGGUCAGGGGGCCGAAACAGGAUCGACGAACGUCUAAAGGGGUUUGCUUUGUCUCGGCUGUCUGCCACCGUUAUCGGCGAAACAAGUACAAUUGCAAAUGACAAUCGUGCUCCGGCAAUGGCUCUGGCA
rnacentral:tmRNA from 1 species